GGAAGCAGGAAGUUAAGGGUUCCUUCUUUGAUCUUCAAGGCUGCACACAGCAGGCAGCAACAGAGAUUUUUCACUCCUUAUUCAAUCUGGUGAAGAAAUGAAAAGAGGAGUUUGUCUGACUGUCAACCUACGAGCACCAAACACGUGGAGGACUGUACACACACCUGUGGAGGAUGUAGAGGACCAUCUCUUUGCUUCCUGCACUGGCAGCGUGAUGACGUAACCUGCAGCCGGACGAGUCGAGUGACGGGCAGCCUGACCAAAACAAGACAAAGAGCUGGUAACAUGUAUGCUACACCACGCUGCCUCACCUGCUUCCUUCAACAUUUGGUGUUUCCUGUUUCUGAACUGUGAAGAGUAGGAUCUGUGCUGCAGCUGGAAGGAUUUUCUUCAGAUUAAAGUUUACUUGAUAGCUGUUUUAGUUUUCUUUCAGUCAUAGUUUGUUGUUUUUAUCUUUCAGCUAUAGAUUUAGUUUAGUCUGUUUGCUUUAAUUUUCAUUUGCAGUUUUCUCUUCAAACACUGAUAACACAAUUUAAUAAUUUUAAAGUCUUAAUUUGUUUCAUGUUUGUGUUGUCAGCAUCUUUAAUUCCUAAUGGAUGUUUUGUUGUAGUUGUUUCCUUUGUUUUCAUUUGAAGUUUGGAUAUUUUUUAUAACAUUUGAUAAAUUUCCAUUAGGAAACAUGCUUACUGGGUAGAUAACUACAGACAAGUUUCCUCUGAACAAUGAAACCUGUAAACUACUAUAAAUAAAACACACCUGGCAGAUAACAGAACAUAAUUACAGAAGUCACUGAUGCAGAAUGGACAGCAGUAGUUUUAUUACAAUAAAAUAUUGAACAGCCAUGACCUGUUUUUUGUA